rnacentral:rRNA from 1 species
AUUGAACGCUGGCGGCAGGCUUAACACAUGCAAGUCGGGCGAGUGGCGGACGUGUGAGUAAGGUAUCGGAACCUACCGGGUGGUGGGGGAUAACUACACGAAAGCGUAGCUAAUACCGCAUAGUAUUUGAUGUGCCGAUGUGGGAUUAGCUAGUUGGUGGGGUAAGGGCCCACCCAGGCGAGGAUCCCUAGCUGGUCUGAGAGGAUGACCGGCCACACUGGGACUGAGACACGGCCCAGACUCCUACGGGAGGCAGCAGUGGGGAAUUUUGGACAAUGGGCGCAAGCCUGAUCCAGCCAUGCCGCGUGUGUGAAGAAGGCCUUCGGUUUGUAAAGCACUUUUGUCAGGGAAGCGGUACCUGAAGAAUAAGCACCGGCUAACUACGUGCCAGCAGCCGCGGUAAUUC